rnacentral:ncRNA from 1 species
UCUCUGGUUGAUCCUGCCAGUAGUCAUAUGCUUGUCUCAAAGCUUAAGCCAUGCAAGUGUCAGUACAUACUAAAUUAAAGUGAAACCGCAAAGGGCUCAAUAAACCAGUUUUAAUUUACUAGAGUUUUCACGUUUCGUACGUGGAUAACUGUGGUAAUUCUAGAGCUAAUACAUGCAACUAGUCCGGACCAAAAAUGGAAAGGACGCUUU